UUUCUAAUCACAUUGCUUGCACGGUUGAGAUGGUUUCGACUGAUGAGAUGUAUGAUGUAGCAGUUAUUGAUGAAAUCCAAAUGAUGGCGGACACACAUAGAGGUUAUGCAUGGACGAGGGCUCUACUAGGAUUAAAAGCUGAUGAGAUACAUGUUUGUGGAGAUCCAAGUGUUUUGAAUAUUGUUCGCAAAGUCUGUUCUGAAACUGGGGAUGAGUUGGUAGAACAGCAUUAUGAGAGGUUUAAGCCAUUGGUGGUUGAAGCAAAG
rnacentral:misc_RNA from 1 species